UUGAACCGUCAGCGGCGGACUAUAACAGAUCAUAAUCGCAGUUGUUUGGUGCAAGACCAUAGAAUGGUACCCAAUUUUGCUUGCCCUCAUUAGUCAUCACAAUAUAAAGGAUUUUACAUUUAGAAGACAAUCCUGCAAAUUUGCAGCUGUACAAAUUUUCUUCAUCUCAUCUGCUGCUGGAAUAAAUAAUGAAAGAUUUUCAAACCAGUGUCCAAGAG